rnacentral:tRNA from 1 species
GGUAGGGUGGCCAAGGCGCUGGAUUUAGGCUCCAGUCUCUUCGGGGGCGUGGGUUCGAAUCCCACCGCUGCCA